CCUACGGGUGACAGCAGUGAGGAAUAUUGGUCAAUGGCCGGAAGGCUGAACCAGCCAUGCCGCGUGAAGGUCAGUGCCCUAUGGGCGUUAAACUUCUUUUGUGCGGGAGCAAUAAUGGUCACGUGUGGCCAGACGAGAGUACCGUACGAAUAAGCAUCGUCUAACUCCUUCCCAGCAGCCGCGGUAAUACGGGGGAUGCAAGCGUUAUCCGGAUUUAUUGGGUUUAAAGGGUUCGUAGGCUGUGAGGUAAGUCAGCGGUGAAAUGCCCCCGCUCAACGGGGUGAAGUGCCAUUGAUACUGCCUGGCUGGAAUGCGGAUGCCGUGGGAGGAAGGUGUGGUGUAGCGGUGAAAUGCAUAGAUAUCACACAGAGCACCGAUUGCGAAGGCAUCUCACGAAUCCGCGAUUGACGCUGAUGCACGAAAGCGUGGGUAUCAAACAGGAUUAGAUACCCUGGUAGUC
rnacentral:rRNA from 1 species